rnacentral:lncRNA from 1 species
CAAAAGGCUAAAUUGUCCUCAGACCACUUUUAUUCUUAAAAUUCUUUUGGAAGGAUAAGGGGUCUUUUCUGUAUUGAAUCAAUUCCCAUGUUGUAUCUUUUUCACAUCUCAAUUAAAUUUUUGUUUUUUCCAGAAAAGUUAGCUGAAGACUAAAAGUAAGGAUAUUUUAGUCACUAUGAAGCAUUUCUACAUGAACAGUUAAGAAGGCUGGAAAAGAAUUUCGCUUUGAAUAAACCCUGACAUAACUCAUGCUUGAGUUAUUUAGGGGGUGUUCAGAGUUACUGACACCAAAGUGGUCCAUGAGGGCUGGAUGGUUGUUUUUGAAGGCAAUGGCUUUCACACUUCUGUGGAAUUCUCAGAAAUUAAUAUGACUCUGAAUAAACAUUGUUUGGGCAAAGAAGAUUGAUAAACAUUGUAUACUAGCUUUCACAAAUGGGACAGGACUGAUAGAGUUUAAAAAAUUAUGUUCCAACUAUGAUGUUUGUUUCUUUAAUUCAAGAGAAUAUGCAUAACCAUAGAGAUCUGAAACUGAUGCCCCAAAUUGUAACUUGUCAGGAAAGCCCUAGCAACAGUGGGUGACAUCCCUAUGCGGCCAGGGCCCUGUUAGAUGCUCAGCAUCCCUCAGCCCUUGCCCUACCUACAGCCUCAUGUUUGUACCCGCUUUGUGUCUUGUGGACCUUUUAAUUUACGAUUCAUGCUCUAUUCUCCCUUUCCUUUCUGGAGUUUUAUGAUGGCACUUUACGGAU